rnacentral:rRNA from 1 species
UAAAGGUUCUCAAUAUUAACCUAGACAAAAAAAAGAUUAAUGGACGGAAUAUCCGAGAAAAACAUGGAGGCAAGACCGUGGAAAUGUUUAAAUCCAAAGGAAAACCGGAAAGAAUAAAAACUUAGAGAAUUGAAACAUCUUAGUAUCUAAGGAAAAAAAUCAACCGAGAUUUUGCGAGUAGUGGCGAAUGAAAGCAAAAUAAAGGCUAAAAGAGUCAUAAGAAUUCAAGAAAAUUCGAGAAAGGAUUGCCAAAGAGGGUGAAAGCCCCGUAAAUGAAAUCAUGAUUCUAAAUUCAGUAGGGCGGCCAAAAAUCUGUCUGAACCUAGGGGGACCACCCUCUAAGCCUUAAAUAACUUUUUUUGAUCGAUAGCGCACAAGUACCGUGAGGGAAAGGUGAAAUAAUCCCUUAUAAAGGGUUUGAAAUAGUAUAAAAUUGAGAAUUUACAAGCAGUAGAUUGAUUAAAGAGUUAAGAAAUCUACGUACUUCUUGCAUAACGGAUCAGCGAGUUAGUUUCUAAAACAGGGCUAAGCAGUAAUGUGUAAGCGUAAAGAAAGUAAACCUUAUUCAAAGGAAUAAGAAAAAAGUUUUAGGAAAAAGACCCGAACCUAAGUGAUCUAAGCAUGAGCAGGCUGAAGCUCCACGAAAGUGUAGUGAAGGGCCGAACCCACUACUGUUGCAAUAUUAGGGGAAGACUUGUGCUUAGGGGUGAAAGGCCAAACAAACUUAGAUCUAGCUGGUUCUCCCCGAAAUCUAUUGAGGUAGAGCACUUUUUAUAUUUAUCUUAUGGGGUAGAGCACUUCAUGGGUGUGGGGGGCGUAAAGCUUUACCAUUUCCAAGAAAACUCCGAAUACGUAUAGAUAGAAAAAGCAGACAGGCUCUGGGCGCAAAGGUGCAGAGCCAAGAGGGAAACAGCCCAGACUAUCAGCUAAGGUCUUUAAUCUCUUUCUUAGUGGGAAAGGAAUAAUAUGAGCAAAAUCAAUCUCGAGGUGGGCUUAGAGGCAGCCACCCCGCAAAGGAAAGCGUAACAGCUCAUUGAUUUAGCCGUGGUUGACCCAAAAUGUAACGAGUCUUAAGAAAGAAACCGAAGCUAUAGAUAUAUCAUUAAUUGAUACAAAGGUUAAUAACCUUAAGUCUUUUCUAUGAUAUGUGGUAGGGGAGCGUUGUGUAUAUCAUUGACCUAAAUUUAGAAAAAUUUUAGGUAGAUCUCACAAGUGACUAUGCUGAUAUGAGUAACGAAAAAUCAUGUGAAAUACAUGAUCACCGAAACUUCAAGGUUUUCUACGCAUUGUGAAUCAGCGUAGAGUAAAACGGCCCCUAAGAUGAAAUAAGACCCGAAAGGGUAUGUCGAUGGGAAAUUCUUUUGAAAAUUCAUGAGAGAUUCUUUCUUCUUUCGUAGGAGAAAAGAAAUAAGAAAUCAAGUGAACUGGAAAACGCAAAAGAAAUUUAACCGUACCGGAAACCGCCACUGGUGAAGGAGUAGAAAUCUACAAAGGUGAUCGAAAGAACCAUUUUUAAGGAACUCGGCAAAAUGACCCCGUAACUUAGGAAGAAGGGGGACCUUAAAUGCCUAGGGUUAUUUAAGGUGGCACGAAAUCGGGGGUAGCAACUGUUUACCAAAAACACAAGACUUUGCUAAGUUGUAAAACGCUGUAUAAGGUCUGACACCUGCCCGGUGCUGCAAGCUAAAAGGGAAAGGUGAAAUUUAUUCUAUCGAAUAGAUGGAGCUUUGAACUGAUUGUUCAGUAAACGGCGGUCGUAACUCUAACGAUCCUAAGGUAGCGAAAUUCCUUGUCCACUAAUUAUGGACCUGCAUGAAUGGUGUAAUGACUGCCCCGCUGUCUCAAAAAUGGAUUCGGUGAAAUUGAAUUCUCCGUGAAGAUGCGGAGUAUUAGUGCCUAGACGGGAAGACCCUGUGCUUCUUUACUAUAACCUUUCAUUGAAACCUGGUCUCUCUUGUGUAGAAUAAGUGGGAGAUAUCUUCUUCGGAAGAAAUCGCAAGUGAAAUACCACUCUGGAUUUACUGGGAAUCUUACCUUUUUAAGAAAAAGGGACAUUGGAUGGUGGGUAGUUUGACUGGGGUGGUCGCCUCCUAAAGUGUAACGGAGGUGUACGAAGGUAGGUUUGAUUGGAUUGGAAACCCUUUCUAAAGUGUAACGACAAAAACUUGCUUGACUGCGAGAUAGACAUAUCGAGCAGGGACGAAAGUCGGUCGUAGUGAUCCGGGAGUCCUUCGUGGAAAGGCUCUCGCUCAACGAAUCAAAGAAACGCCAGGGAUAACAGGCUAAUACCUCCCAAGAGUUCAUAUCGACGGAGUUGUUUGGCACCUCGAUGUUGAUUCAUUGCGUCCUGGAGGUGAAGAAGCUUCCAAGGGUUCGGCUGUUCGCCGAUUAAAGCAGUACGUGAGUUGAGUUCAGAACGUCGUGAGACAGUUCGGUUCCUAUCUAGCAUUAAUAGUGAAAAAUUAUAAGGUUUUAUCUCUAGUACGAGAGGAUCGAGAUUAAGCUGACCUCUGGUUUACCGGUUGUAUUGCCUAAUGCAUCGCCGGCUCGCUACGUCAGUAUGGAUAACUGCUGAGAGCAUCUAAGCGGGAAACCAUCCUUUAAACUUAUUUUUAUAUUCGUAGAAGACUACUACGUUGAUAGGCAAGAAUUUACCUCUUAGUAAUAAGAUGGUUUCUCUUGUACUAA